GCCCUUGUAGCUCAGUAGGUAGAGCGUCCGGCUGUUAACCGGCAGGUCGAAGGUUCGAGUCCUUCCGGGGGCG
rnacentral:tRNA from 1 species